rnacentral:rRNA from 1 species
GACGAACGCUGGCGGCGUGCUUAACACAUGCAAGUCGAACGGAAAGGCCCUGCUUUUGUGGGGUGCUCGAGUGGCGAACGGGUGAGUAACACGUGAGUAACCUGCCCUUGACUUUGGGAUAACUUCAGGAAACUGGGGCUAAUACCGGAUAGGAGCUCCUGCUGCAUGGUGGGGGUUGGAAAGUUUCGGCGGUUGGGGAUGGACUCGCGGCUUAUCAGCUUGUUGGUGGGGUAGUGGCUUACCAAGGCUUUGACGGGUAGCCGGCCUGAGAGGGUGACCGGCCACAUUGGGACUGAGAUACGGCCCAGACUCCUACGGGAGGCAGCAGUGGGGAAUAUUGCACAAUGGGCGGAAGCCUGAUGCAGCAACGCCGCGUGCGGGAUGACGGCCUUCGGGUUGUAAACCGCUUUCGCCUGUGACGAAGCGUGAGUGACGGUAAUGGGUAAAGAAGCACCGGCUAACUACGUGCCAGCAGCCGCGGUGAUACGUAGGGUGCGAGCGUUGUCCGGAUUUAUUGGGCGUAAAGGGCUCGUAGGUGGUUGAUCGCGUCGGAAGUGUAAUCUUGGGGCUUAACCCUGAGCGUGCUUUCGAUACGGGUUGACUUGAGGAAGGUAGGGGAGAAUGGAAUUCCUGGUGGAGCGGUGGAAUGCGCAGAUAUCAGGAGGAACACCAGUGGCGAAGGCGGUUCUCUGGGCCUUUCCUGACGCUGAGGAGCGAAAGCGUGGGGAGCGAACAGGCUUAGAUACCCUGGUAGUCCACGCUGUAAACGGUGGGUACUAGGUGUGGGGUCCAUUCCACGGGUUCCGUGCCGUAGCUAACGCUUUAAGUACCCCGCCUGGGGAGUACGGCCGCAAGGCUAAAACUCAAAGGAAUUGACGGGGCCCCGCACAAGCGGCGGAGCAUGCGGAUUAAUUCGAUGCAACGCGUAGAACCUUACCUGGGUUUGACAUGGAUCAGGAGUGCUCAGAGAUGGGUGUGCCUCUUUUGGGGUCGGUUCACAGGUGGUGCAUGGCUGUCGUCAGCUCGUGUCGUGAGAUGUUGGGUUAAGUCCCGCAACGAGCGCAACCCUUGUUCACUGUUGCCAGCACGUUAUGGUGGGGACUCAGUGGGGGACCGCCGGGGUCAACUCGGAGGAAGGUGGGGAUGACGUCAAGUCAUCAUGCCCCUUAUGUCCAGGGCUUCACGCAUGCUACAAUGGCUGGGUACAAAAGUGGCCGACCCUGUGAGGGUGAGCCAAUCCUCGGAAAAGCCGGUCUCAGUUCGGGAUUGGG